CACUCAGUGUUUCACUUUUAGAGUGUCUUAAUAUGAAAGCAGAAGCAGUGAUGUAGGUGCACUUCCUUUUGAGAAGUGUUCGCACAAGACCUACGCAAGACAUACGAGAGCUAAUACUUUGAGGUUUAUGAAGGACGCUGUUUGUCCUCCUUUCUUCAGUGCAUCAUCUUCUGCACUAUCAGCAGCACUUACACUGCAAAUUGGACACAUUGGUGAGAAUGGAUGCAUUAAAAUUUUACUUUACUCUGCUUCUACCACUAACUGCAUGCUCACAAGAUUUGGGAGGAGAAACUGUUGUGAAAACAAUUGGGAAGCAACCAGAUGUCACUCAAAUAUGCACCAAUGAAACACAGAACAUCAUCACACUGAUAGUUUGUACGAUCAGAACUCAGAGAAGUGGAGGAGGAAAUUGUGUUCUGCUGUAUGAACAUGCACGGGGCUUUGAGCACAAAUGUGACUCCAGGUUCACACUGAUGAAAGAAAAUCAGACUGUGUUUCUCCACCUGAUCAAUUUAACAUCAGAGGACAGUGGGAGCUACAGCUGUCAGUGUACAAGUCCUGGAAGAACAAAUAUUCUCCAUCUUAAUGUCACUGUGGAAGGUAAACAAGAACUAAGCAGCAGGUCUGGAACAGAAACAGUUCCUCUUACACUGAUUUCUGUAACCGUGUUCAUCAUUGUGAGUUUAGUUAUCUUUGGAUUUAUUCACGCACGACUGCACCAGAGAAAACCAUCUCCUAGACCUCAAAACACGGGGUCAGAGGACAUUGAGCCGUACAGCACCUACAUACGGAGGGAAAGUGGUCUUUAUUCAACUGUUAAAAUGCACGACUCUAAACAGAAUACCAACAGUUCACAUGUGUCAGCAGACACAGUUGAGACAGUCUACGCAGGAGUACAAUAAUAUUAUAUCACAUUUUUCAACACUGACAAUUGUAGUUUGGCAAAUUCACCACAGGGUGGCAUCAUUUGCAAUAUGACUGACAAAUAAAGAACUGACCAGAAUCAGCGGAAAUAGUCAAAUAUUUCAUAUCUAAACACGAUUUCUUUUUAUCAUCUUAGCAUUUUAGUAUUGUGUUUUUAUGUAAAUAUUUUGUUACAAACUGCAGUAAAACUUUAUCCAUCAUUUGUUGUGUUUUUCUUUUUUUUAAUGCAGAAGAGAGAACUUUGUAAAUUCUGAGUUUUCAUAUGACUAAACUCAUAUAGUCAAGAAAAAUUCAACAAUUUCAGAUCCCUUUUGCUUUAUUCACUGUGACCG
ensembl:lncRNA